GCCCUCCAGAGUGAGUUCGUCGCAUCUAAACCCUUUCCAUGUGACCCUUCAAGCUUGACUAAAUAUCCUCCCUGCAAAGAGCUCGAUGCAAGAAUGCGAGAUGAUGAGGAAGCUAGAAGGCAAGGGGCAGCAGGAAACAAGGACCAUAAACACCAAGAAAGAAGAGGAAUGAAGGAAUCUCAAGUUCCACCUCUCGAUGCCAAUGCAGAAUUAGCCGUGUCAACGCAGCUCGGAUAUGGAUCGACAGGCCACGAGAUUCACUAUUCAGGGCCAUUUGUGGUUCCUUCAGGCAACAUGGAACAGAUAUGCUGAGAAGCUGUAAGAAGGGCUCGGGUCGAUAAGGCCAGAGUCAGAAAGCUUCAGGCAGAUGAAACUAUCCUCUGACCAAUCCCUACUCACCUCGGACCGGUAGAAUUGUGGUUAAAGAUAAAGGUCGAAGCGGAAACCGGGUCGGUUUCUGGGAAAUUUUCAGAGAAGGGCUUGCAUUCUGAUGCAUCGAUAUGCAUUUGUUGAUUUAAGAUGGUGAUGAUAAAGAGAGUAACCAUUUUCCUU